rnacentral:rRNA from 1 species
UACUCCUACGGGAGGCAGCAGUGAGGAAUAUUGGUCAAUGGGCGAGAGCCUGAGACCAGCCAAGUAGCGUGCAGGACGACGGCCCUAUGGGUUGUAAACUGCUUUUGUAUGGAGAUAAAGUCAAUCACGUGUGAUUGUUUGCAGGUACCAUACGAAUAAAGACCGGCUAAUUCCGUGCCAGCAGCCGCGGUAAUAC